AAGCGGUGGAGUAUGUGGUUUAAUUCGAUGCAACGCGAAGAACCUUACCUGGUCUUGACAUCCCGGAGACCCUUAGGAAACUAGGGGGUGCUUCCAGUCUGGAAGAAUCUGGAGACAGGUGCUGCAUGGCUGUCGUCAGCUCGUGUCGUGAGAUGUUGGGUUAAGUCCCGGCAACGAGCGCAACCCUUGCCUUUAGUUGCCAGCAGUUCGGCUGGGCACUCUAAAGGGACUGCCGGUGUUAAACCGGAGGAAGGUGGGGAUGGACGUCAAGUCCUCAUGGCCUUUAUGACCAGGGCUACACACGUACUACAAUGGCCGAUACAAAGGGCAGCGACACUGCGAGGUGAAGCCAAUCCCGUAAAAUCGGUCUCAGUCCGGAUUGGAGUCUGCAACUCGACUCCAUGAAGUUGGAAUCGCUAGUAAUCGUGGAUCAGCAUGCCACGGUGAAUACGUUCCCGGGCCUU
rnacentral:rRNA from 1 species